UAGGGAAUCUUCCGCAAUGGGCGAAAGCCUGACGGAGCAACGCCGCGUGAGUGAUGAAGGUCUUCGGAUCGUAAAACUCUGUUAUUAGGGAAGAACAAAUGUGUAAGUAACUAUGCACGUCUUGACGGUACCUAAUCAGAAAGCCACGGCUAACUACGUGCCAGCAGCCGCGGUAAUACGUAGGUGGCAAGCGUUAUCCGGAAUUAUUGGGCGUAAAGCGCGCGUAGGCGGUUUUUUAAGUCUGAUGUGAAAGCCCACGGCUCAACCGUGGAGGGUCAUUGGAAACUGGAAAACUUGAGUGCAGAAGCGGAAAGUGGAAUUCCAUGUGUAGCGGUGAAAUGCGCAGAGAUAUGGAGGAACACCAGUGGCGAAGGCGACUUUCUGGUCUGUAACUGACGCUGAUGUGCGAAAGCGUGGGGAUCAAACAGG
rnacentral:rRNA from 2 species